ACUCCCUUAGUAUACUAAGGACCUGGAGGCAAUCUUGCCAGACUUCCUCUGCAGGCAUCUUUAAUUUUCUUGUAUCAUAAAUUUUUAUCUUACAUUCUAUACAAGGGGGAAUCACUGAGCUGAUGAGUGAGCCUAACCAUUUGCCCGACACCAUUGCAGAAACUGGUUAUUUUACCAAGGCUUUGACUGGAAUAGUGUGCUUCCCUUUAAGGAAUCAAACUUGACUUUUGGAGCUAAUAAAAGCCCCUUGGGAAAACUGCUCUCUUACCUUGUCUACACAGUCUCUGGACAGAGUUCCUGACCUGUGUAUCCAGAAUGAGUGAUCCUUGAAAAUCUCAAAUUGGAUCAUGUCCUUCAGCUACUUAAAACCUGUCAAUGAUGACCAGUUGUACUUCAAGUAAAAUCCAAAUCCUCUCAAGGUACCAAGGGGAGAAGGAAGAAACAAUACAAGAAUUGGCCCCAGGAAAUAUUUAUUCUAAAUCCGGCACAUGCAAAACCCCGAGAUAGCCAUCAAGGACAAAAAUCGUCACUGGGAGGUGGGAAGCCCUGAAGGAAAAGCACUAGUCUUGGUGUCAGAAGACCUAUGCUUGUGUUUUCACGCUGACAGGACAUGUGUAUCUCAACAAGUAUCUUCAUCUUCUGAACCUAUUUCCUCAUCUAUAAAAGGUCACUAACACCCAUUUUGAAAAACCACAUGUAGGUUAGGAGGAUUCAAUGUAUGUGAAAGAGUUCUUCAAACUCCUAAGCACUUGCUGUGCUGAUGGUAAAGGUGAUAAUGAGGAGGAAGGAGUGUCUGCUAUGGGAAAACCACUGUCCUAAAACUUUUAAAUACAUUGUUAAUUAAUCUGCACCAAUAAGUCUACGAAUUAGAUUCUAUCAUAAUCUCAAUUUUACAGAUGAGGUUCAGAGAGAUGACAAAUUUUCCCCAAUAUCACACAGUCAUUUUAAUGGUGGAACAGAAAUUUUAACCCAAAUCUAUCUGGCUCCAUAGUUAACACUCUUAACUACCAUAUUAUAUGGCCCCAAUCUAACUCCCUUAUCUUUGGGAAAUACUUUUAUUUAUAGGUCAAUGACACAGAGUUACAGAUCCUGGGUACAGCCUGGGUCUGUAACUUACUCAAUGUAUAAUGCUGGGUAAGUCUUAACCUCUCUGUGCCUCAUCUGUUAAAUGAAAGAGUUGAACUCUAGGAUCUCUCAAGUUCAUUCCCUUUGAGUUCAUCUAACAUUAUACGGUCUUCGUUCUUGUUGGUACAAUAGUUUAUUAGGUAAUUGUUUAUUAGAUAAUUAACAGUCCAUGUCACCUUGGCUAUCUGCCAAAUGAAUAGAAGCACACUACAGAUAUUAGAGAGGGAGGGUUGAAGGGAAAAGAUUUCCAAGGGCUUUGGCAGGUGGAGAAGGCUUUUUGGAGAGGAUAGGCCUGAACCGUUUCACCAUUAAAAGCACUUUUAUUAUUUUUCUCCAUAGUCACUAUAUUUACAAAGAUUUUAUGUUUACUUAACAUUGUGUCAUGGUCUGGCAAAAGAGAGCAUCUGCAGCCCCUCCAGGAAAGAAGAGAAAUCCUGUAAUCCCUAGAGAGAGUCAGGCAGGAGGACAAAAUUAGUGGCUGCAUGCUUACUGCAGACCAGCACGGUAUGAGAACAGUAUUUUGUCAUCAGCUGUGAGUCAGCUAAAAGUUGAAGCCAAAUGUUCAAGCAUUGUUAGGAGUUGAGUCUUUUCUUUGAUGAAGCAUAUGGGAGCCUCAUUCAUCCACACUUUCCUUGCCUCCACAUCCUUGCCAUUAUGGGAAUGGCAUAUAAGCCAGUGAUGCUCAACCAGAAGUGACUUUGUCCCUUAUGAACUAUAGGCGAUAUCCGAAGACAGACUAAAUGCCAUGACUUGGCUGGGGAGGAAGUGGGAGCUUGUUCCUGAUAUCUAGUGGAUAGAGGCCAACAAUACUUAGGGCAGGCUCCCCACCCUCCAUCCCCAGCAACAGAGAAGUAUCUGGUCCAAAAUUUCAAUAGUGCUGAGGCUGAAAAACUCUGAUACAAGGGAACAGCAGUUACAACAAAGAAAAAGAAAGCCAACUCACCAAGAGCAGCUGUAAAUAGAAACAUCUUAUUUUUACUUUCUCCUCUCCUCCCCAGCAUUAAAAGGAAUAGAAAGGAAAGCACUUGGAAUCCCCAGGACAGCUUGUGGAAGGUUUUGGGGUAGUGUGGGUGGAGCUUUAAACUGAAUAUGAGAUUGAUUUUUAAAAUAACUUCUUAUUUUGAAACAGUUUAAGACUCACAAGAGUUGCAAAAAUUAUAGUAUAAAGUCCCCAUAUACUCUUUAGCUAACUUCUUCCAAUAAUAAUGUUAUAUAACCAUAGUAAAUGGCCAAAACCAGAAAAGUGACUGUGAUGCAAUAAUACUGUUAACUCAGGUGCAGAUAUUAUUUGGAUUUCACCAGGAUAUACGUGCACUCUUUUUGUCUAUUUGUUUUGGUAUAUAGUUCUGUGACAUUUUAUCACAUGGCUAGACUCAAGUACCCAUCACCAUAAUCAAGAUACAGAACUGCUCCAAAUCCACAAAGAAACUCUCUCAUGUGUUACCCCUUAAUAGGCGCACGCUUCCUUCAACCCCAGUCUCUAAUAAACACUGAUCUGUUCUUUAUUACUGUAAUUUAGUCAUUCCAAUAAUUGUAUAUAAAUAUAAUUUUACAGUAUAUUGCCCUUUGAGGUUUUGUUUACUGUUUUAUUUUUCAUUCAGCAUAAUGCACUUGAGUCAUCUAAGUUGUUGUAUGUAUCAAUAGUUUAUUCCUUAUUACUGAUGAAUAGGAGCCCAUUGUAUGGAUGUACCAAAGUUUAUUUAACAAUUUACUUGUUGAAGGAUAUCUGGAUUAUUUCCAUUUCUUGGCUGUUAUAAAUAAAGCUGCUAUGAGCUUUUGUGUUCAUCUUUUUGUGUGAACAUAAGUUUUCAUUUCUUUAGGAGAAAUGCCCAGGAAUGUGAUUGCUGGAUCAUUCAUAUGGAUGUCUUCAGGGCCAUGCAUCCAGAGCUUGACAUUGUGCAGUUGUACCUGAAGCCACUGCUCAUUGGAGAACUUGCCCCAGGAGAGCCCAGCCAGGAAAGACACAAAAAUCUUACAUUUGCCUGACUCUUGAAAUAAUUUUUAUAACGUGUGGAUCCAUAGACCCCUGUGAAGCAGAGGGAGCAAGGAUUUUAUUCUCUCUUAAAAAAAUGAAGAAACAGACUCACAAAGGGAGCAGGACUAAUCUGAGGACACAGAACUGGUUAUGGGCAAAUCUGAGACUAAUAGGCUCAGAGCUCAUUUUUGCAGCAUGACGCGGGGCACCUUUCCAUAUUUAGGAAGUCCAAGUGGAACCACGUGGUGCAUAAAUUUGUGAUGUGCCAUCUCAAGAAACAGUCUUUCCAUAAUCAAAAUGAAGACUCAGAAUCAAUAAGAAAAAUAUUUAAUCGUUGAAGUAUUAAGAAGAUGGAAAUAAAUCACAUCAUCACUAAGUUGCAAGCAUUGAAGCCGGGACAUGCAAGGAUCUGAGCCAAGACCCCCAGGGAGAUCACUUCAGAUCCAUGAUUCUUUGAAACACUCAUUGAAGGCCUGUCAGCAGACCGGUGGAAUUACUGGCACUUUGAACAACACGUAAAGCCGAACAUCUACCCCAAAGACCCAGAUAUUGACACGGACCCACUUUUUCUCCUUGGAGAUUCACAACCUGUCAAGGUACACUUAGAAAUCUUGAGCACCGAGGAAAUGUUCCUGGAAGUGGUUCGUGGAAAGGCUUACAGCCUUGCCUUGGAAAGAUCAAGCUGGAAAUUCUGGCUUCACACACAAUCUGAGAACAUCUCUCCUUCUUUUAGGUUCAAAAUACAGAUUUGAAAUAACUGAAUCUGGGGCUGUAAGAAUACAAGGCGAUUUAGAGCCGUAACCAUUAAGUCUAUGACCUUACAGAUCAUCCAGUCCAACCUCCCACGGCAGGAAAUAUGGAAAUCCACAUUACUCUGAGCAAUCCCAGUGACAGAUGGGUCCCUGCCCAGUGCCUGUCAUUUCCUCUGAGGCAAUACAAGCCAAUGUUAGAUCGUGGAACCAGAUGACUGAAGUUGCAAUGACUGUCUGAGGUUUAAACAGGGCAUGGAGAAACAUUCACUGAGAGAAUAUAGGUCAAUAUAUUCAAUAAGCACUAGGUCACAUACGUUCACAUAGCUAGUUAUCUCAACUAAUUCUAGCCCAGUUAGAAAAGACUAUGCUGUUAUAUUUAGUUCAUGUUCAUUUUGGUGCAUUUACACAUGAACUACAGCCCAAAUGCCAUGGAAGAGAUCUACAGGUCUCACCUCUAAUUUGAGCUUCUUAAACAACAGAAAAAAGGAGGGGGAAAACCAUCUUCAGAAUUUCUCAGUUAAUUAUUACUUUUUAAAACUCCAACUUAUUUCUGAGGGCUCUGUUCUGUUCCAUUGAUCUAUAUCUCUGUUUUGGUACCAGUACCAUGCUGUUUUGGUUACUGUAGCCUUGUAGUA
rnacentral:lncRNA from 1 species